rnacentral:tRNA from 1 species
GUAGCUCAGUGGUACAGCAUCUACCUUGCAUUCAGAAGCUCCUGGGUUCAAUCCCCUGUCA